rnacentral:rRNA from 1 species
AGUAGCUGGCGGCACGCCUAACACAUGCAAGUCGAACGAAGUAGCAAUACUUAGUGGCAGACGGGUGAGUAACAUGUAGGUAUCUACCCUAUGGCCUGGAAUAACACGAGGAAACUUGUGCUAAUACCGGAUAAGUCUUUACGGAGAAAGCUUUAUGCACCAUUGGAUGAGCCUGCACUUGAUUAGUUUGUUGGUGGGGUAAUGGCCUACCAAGACUUUGAUCAAUAGCUGAUUUGAGAGGAUGAUCAGCCACAUUGGGACUGAGACACGGCCCAAACUCCUACGGGAGGCAGCAGAGGGGAAUCUUGCACAAUGGAGGAAACUCUGAUGCAGCGAUGCCGCGUGAGUGAAGAAGGCCCUUGGGUUGUAAAGCUCUUUCGUCGGGGAAGAAAAUGACUGUACCCGAAUAAGAAGGUCCGGCUAACUUCGUGCCAGCAGCCGCGGUAAUACGAAGGGACCUAGCGUAGUUCGGAAUUACUGGGCUUAAAGAGUUCGUAGGUGGUUGAAAAAGUUGGUGGUGAAAUC